GACGAACGCUGGCGGCGUGCUUAACACAUGCAAGUCGAACGAAGUGGCGAACGGGUGAGUAACGCGUAAUCAACCUGCCCUUCAGAGGGGGACAACAGUUGGAAACGACUGCUAAUACCGCAUACUGAAGGAGGGGAUUUAGUCGGAUUAGCUAGUUGGAGGGGUAACGGCCCCCCAUGGCGAGGAUACGUAGCCUGUCGGAGAGGAUGAACGUCCACAUUGGGACUGAGACACGGCCCAGACUCCUACGGGAGGCAGCAGUGGUGAAUCUUCCGCAAUGGACGAAAGUCUGACGGAGCAACGCCGCGUGAGUGAUGACGGCCUUCGGGUUUUAAAGCUCUGUUAAUCGGGACGCGGUACCGGAAUAGAAAGCCACGGCUAACUACGUGCCAGCCGCCGCGGUAAUAC
rnacentral:rRNA from 1 species